GGUGUAGCUUAGCUGGUUAAAGCGCCAGAUUGUGGCUCUGGAGAUCGUGGGUUCGAAUCCCACCAUU
rnacentral:tRNA from 1 species